GAGAGGGUUCGGCCCUCAGCAGACGGCUCAGUAACACGUGGAUAAUCUGCCCUUAGGUGGAGGAUAACCUCGGGAAACUGAGAAUAAUACUCCAUAGAUCUGGAAUGCUGGAAUGCAUCUAGGUUGAAAGUUCCGGCGCCUAAGGAUGAGUCCGCGGACUAUCAGGUAGUAGUCAGGGUAAAGACCUGACUAGCCUAUGACGGAUACGGGUUGUGAGAGCAAUAACCCGGAGACGAUAUCUGAGACACGAUAUCGGGCCCUACGGGGCGCAGCAGGCGCGAAAACUUCACACUGUGCGAAAGCACGAUGAGGGGAUCCCAAGUGCUGGCUCGUAAGAAUCAGCUGUUUCUUUGUCUAAAAAACAAAGAGAGUAAGAGCUGGGUAAGACGGGUGCCAGCCGCCGCGGUAAUACCUGCAGCUCAAGUGGUGACCGCUAUUAUUGGGCCUAAAACGUCCGUAGCCGGUUUAGUAAAUGCCUGGGUAAAUCGUGUAGCUUAACUAUACGAAUUCCGGGUAGACUGCUGAACUUGAGACCGGGUGAGGCUAGAGGUACUCCUGGGGUAGAGGUGAAAUUCUGUAAUCCUAGGGGGACCACCAGUGGCGAAGGCGUCUAGCUAGAACGGGUCUGACGGUGAGGGACGAAGCCCUGGGGCACAAACCGGAUUAGAUACCCGGGUAGUCCAGGGUGUAAACGCUGCUUGCUUGAUGUUAGUUGGGCUCCGAGCCCAACUAGUGUCGGAGAGAAGUUGUUAAGCAAGCUGCCUGGGAAGUACGGUCGCAAGGCUGAAACUUAAAGGAAUUGGCGGGGGAGCACAGCAACGGGUGGAGCGUGCGGUUUAAUUG
rnacentral:rRNA from 1 species